GAAGUAGUGGCGGACGGGUGAGUAUAAGCAGGGAACGUACCCUUUUCUGUGGGAUAGCUCGUCGAAAGACGGGGUAAUACCGCAUGUCUUCGUGAGAAGAAAGCGCGUAACUGCGCGGAAUUGGAGCGGCCCUGUUUCCAUCAGCUAGUUGGUGGGGUAACGGCCUACCAAGGCAUCGACGGAUAGGGGGCGUGAGAGCGCGACCCCCCACAAUGGCACUGAGAUACGGGCCAUACAUCUACGGAUGGCAGCAACUGGGAAUCGUUGGCAAUGGGCGAAAGCCUGACCACGCGACGCCGCGUGAGGGAUGAAGUAUUUCGGUAUGUAAACCUCUUUUGACCCGCCAUGAAGGUGGGUAGAAUAAGCACCUACAAACUACGUGCCAGCAGUCGCGGUAAUACGUAGGGUGCAAGCGUUAUCCGGAUUCACUGGGCGUAAAGAGUCGUGUAGGCGGUUUACCGCAUCGCACUUGAAAGCACGAGGCUUAACCUCGUCGUUGGGUGCGAGAUGGGUAGACUUCUGAGGGUAGUAGAGGAAAGGGGAACUGAUGGUGGAGCAGUGAAAUGCGUUGAUAUCAUCAGGAACACCAAAGGCGAAGGCACCUUUCUGGACUAUACCUGACGCUGAGACACGAAAGCUAGGGGAGCGAAGCAGAUUAGAGACCUGCGUAGUCCUAGCCCUAAACGCAUGUCUGCUAGUUGCCCCGCCUUAAAAGUGGGGUGACGUAAGCUAACGCGUUAAGCAGACCGCCUGGGGGACUAC
rnacentral:rRNA from 1 species